AGCGAACGCUGGCGGCAGGCUUAACACAUGCAAGUCGAACGCCCCGCAAGGGGAGUGGCAGACGGGUGAGUAACACGUGGGAACGUACCCUUUGGUUCGGAAUAACUUGGGGAAACUCAAGCUAAUACCGGAUAAGCCCUUAUGGGGAAAGGUUUACUGCCGAAGGAUCGGCCCGCGUCUGAUUAGCUAGUUGGUGAGGUAAUGGCUCACCAAGGCGACGAUCAGUAGCUGGUCUGAGAGGAUGAUCAGCCACACUGGGACUUAGACACGGCCCAGACUCCUACGCGAGGCAGCACUGGGGAAUAUUGGACAAUGGGGGCAACCCUGAUCCAGCCAUGCCGCGUGAGUUAUGAAGGCCUUAGGGUUGUAAAGCUCUUUUACCCGGGACGAUAAUGACUGUACCGGGAGAAUAAGCCCCGGCUAACUUCGUGCCAGCCGCCGCGGUAA
rnacentral:rRNA from 1 species